AGCGCAAAAAAAAAAAAAAAAAAAAAAACCGAGAAAAGUGGUGAACAGAGGCUGCCGGUGUCGGGGUGUUGGCUGUUUUCAACACAAAAUCAUCUUGAAAGAGGCUCCCGCUGACAUAAGUGAUGUGAAGCAUUCUGCCGACGGAGGCUGAACCCCCAACUGCCCAAGCCUGGACUACCUCUGCCUCUAUGAGACCCUAGACAGCCUUAUUGAGAUUGUACCCAGUGUGCAUUAUGGCCAAUGAGGAAGUCCACGUUAUUGAGAAGGACCCCUUGAUGGCAGCUGCAGAGGCUGAGACCAACACAGAUGCCCUCAGCUAGCCCUUGGAGAGCGGUCAUGGACAUGGAGGGCUGGGAUAUGGACUCUCGCCAACUCGGCCGCUUUGGCCUAUGGCUCCUGAUUGAGAAGUGCAACCCUACAGAGAGGACACCUGAUGAGGCGGAGGGGCACUUGCUCAGCAUGGCCUUCCAGUGGUUUGAGUUUACUGCCACGCCGGCUCAAGUUACAGUCUGUGCAGCAGGAUAGCUGAGCUUCUUGAAGGCUUUAGGAAGGUCUUCAGUCUGGCACCUUACAGCGCAGUAAUAUUUGAGGUCCUAGUGCGUUGUCUAGAGUUCCAGUGGGACUGUGUCAUCGAGGAUCGUGUCAUGAUCCUGAAUGCCCUCUACAAGCUGCAGCACUUCUUGUCUGACAUGAUAAUCCUGUCCUGGGAGUUCUUCAUGAACAGACUGGAUACCUUGGCCUUGGAGGCUCAUGUAGAGAUGGAACAAAAGACCAGCACAUGUGACUGCAUGGACAUCUUCCUGAAAAAGCAGACCAGGGUGCCGGUUGCUCGGUCUCAGUCAGAGACAAAAAGCUCCAUCAAACUACACUGCCUUUCCUUCAACUUGAAGGCAGAUUUCAAGCAUCACAGCAUGUCAUCCCUGCAACUGCAAACAGAUUUGGCCGCAUCCAGUUUACACCGAUGAGUUCAGUUUUAAAUCUGUUACUGGCUGUUCAAGAGGACAUUAACUUACUUCAGACAUCAUUGUCACCCUUUACUUCGUGAUAGACCUCAUGCUUGAGUACCCUCUUUACCCUACAAGUAUUGUCCCCAGGCCUUCAAAAUUCACCGGCUGGUUUGGACAGAUUUUGAUUUAUUCAGAAAGGUAAAGAACCCUGCCACUGUUACUUUGCAUAGGACGAGAUUUCCCUCAAAAAUAUAUAUGUGCCAUUAGUUCCUGCACAGUGGAGGAUCUGGGUGGUUCGUGUUUGUGGGGUAGAUGGGUCGGCAAACACUCCUUCCACCCCUUCCAUCAUCCCUACUCCCUCUAAACUAACAAAAAGGAAAAAGUAAAUAGGGCAACCAUUUAAAAAUGACACAAGCAAGAAAAUGUAGACAAAU